GAUGAACGCUGGCGGCGCGCUUAACACAUGCAAGUCGAACGAUGAAGCCCAGCUUGCUGGGUGGAUUAGUGGCGAACGGGUGAGUAACACGUGAGUAACCUGCCCUUAACUCUGGGAUAAGCCUGGGAAACUGGGUCUAAUACCGGAUAGGAGCGUCCACCGCAUGGUGGGUGUUGGAAAGAUUUAUCGGUUUUGGAUGGACUCGCGGCCUAUCAGCUUGUUGGUGAGGUAAUGGCUCACCAAGGCGACGACGGGUAGCCGGCCUGAGAGGGUGACCGGCCACACUUGGACUGAGACACGGCCCAGACUCCUACGGGAGGCAGCAGUGGGGAAUAUUGCACAAUGGGCGCAAGCCUGAUGCAGCGACGCCGCGUGAGGGAUGACGGCCUUCGGGUUGUAAACCUCUUUCAGUAGGGAAGAAGCGAAAGUGACGGUACCUGCAGAAGAAGCACCGGCUAACUACGUG
rnacentral:rRNA from 1 species